GAGCAAUGAUGAAAAAAUUUUAAUACUGACCAUUGUAACAAUGAAGGUUUCUACACUUGACCUGAGCUCA
ensembl:snoRNA